AUGCUGUUGCUUCCCUUACUCGUUGUGACUUCACUUUGGUCCCGUGGGGAUACACAGGCUGCACCGGUGCAAAGCCCAGCAGAGCGCAGGCUGGUGGAGGGCAGCCCAGUCACCAUGAGGUGCCAGCUGAGCAGUGAAACCACUGUGCACUGGUACAGGCAGCUUCCCGGGGAGCCACCCAAGAGGAUACUGUACAUGUCUGGAUCCUCACCUAUCUUCGAUGACAACAACGACGGAUUUAAAUUUCGAGUGCAGAAAAGUACUUCCAACAGUGUUCUGACAAUAAAGAAAGCAUCCCGGAGGGAUACUAGUACUUAUCUCUGUGCAUAUUGGUAUUACCAAGGCUACACAGCAUUAGAUGGGCAAAGAUAA